rnacentral:rRNA from 1 species
CUGCCUGUAAGACUGGGAUAACUCCGGGAAACCGGGGCUAAUACCGGAUAACCCUUCGGACCUCAUGGUCCGGAGUUGAAAGACGGUUAUGCUGUCACUUACAGAUGGGCCCGCGGCGCAUUAGCUAGUUGGUGAGGUAACGGCUCACCAAGGCGACGAUGCGUAGCCGACCUGAGAGGGUGAUCGGCCACACUGGGACUGAGACACGGCCCAGACUCCUACGGGAGGCAGCAGUAGGGAAUCUUCCGCAAUGGACGAAAGUCUGACGGAGCAACGCCGCGUGAGUGAAGAAGGUUUUCGGAUCGUAAAACUCUGUUGUUAGGGAAGAACAAGUACGAGAGUAACUGCUCGUACCUUGACGGUACCUAACCAGAAAGCCACGGCUAACUACGUGCCAGCAGCCGCGGUAAUACGUAGGUGGCAAGCGUUGUCCGGAAUUAUUGGGCGUAAAGCGCGCGCAGGCGGUCUUUUAAGUCUGAUGUGAAAGCCCCCGGCUCAACCGGGGGAGGGUCAUUGGAAACUGGAGGACUUGAGUGCAGAAGAGGAGAGCGGAAUUCCACGUGUAGCGGUGAAAUGCGUAGAGAUGUGGAGGAACACCAGGUGGCGAAGGCGGGCUCUCUGGUCUGUAACUGACGCUGAGGCGCGAAAGCGUG